rnacentral:rRNA from 1 species
CCCUUAGAUGUCCUGGGCCGCACGCGCGCUACACUGAGUGUCUGAGAUACGAGUCUGCCUGGUCCGGCAAGGUCUAGGUAAUCGCUAAAAGACACAUCAUGCUUGGGAUAGAUUAUUGCAAAUAUUAAUCUUGAACGAGGAAUUCCCAGUAAGCGCAAGUCAACAGCUUGCGUUGAUCACGUCCCUGCCCUUUGUACACACCGCCCGUCGCUACUACUGAUUGGAUGUUUAAGCGAGGUUCUCGAACUGCUAGCGACUUAGCUUCGGUGAGGUCGCAGUGUGGGAAGUGAACCUAGCUUUGGUGUCUAGAGGAAGUAAAAGUCGUAACA